GGUACUUAAACACGGACCAGACUCCUACGGGAGGCAGCAGUUAGGAAUUUUGCGCAAUGGGGGAAACCCUGACGCAGCAACGCCGCGUGAGUGAAGAAGGCCUUCGGGUUGUAAAACUCUUUAGAUGGGGACGAAAAAAAUGACGGUACCCAUAGAAUAAGCACCGGCUAACCCUGUGCCAGCAGCCGCGGUAAUACAGGGGGUGCAAACGUUACUCGGAAUCAUUGGGCGUAAAGAGCGCGUAGGCGGUUUGAUAAGUCAAGUGUGAAAUCCCUGGGCUCAAUCCAGGAAGUGCAUUUGAUACUGUCAGGCUAGAGUAUAGGAGGGGAGAACGGAAUUCCUGGUGUAGAGGUGAAAUUCAUAGAUAUCAGGAGGAACAACAGUGGCGAAGGCGGUUCUCUGGACUAUUACUGACGCUGAGGCGCGAAAGCGUGGGGAGCAAACAGGAUUAGAUACCCUGGUAGUCCACGCUGUAAACGAUGGGUACUAGAUGUCGGAAGUUCUUACCCUUCCGGUGUCGCAGCUAACGCAUUAAGUACCCCGCC
rnacentral:rRNA from 1 species